rnacentral:misc_RNA from 1 species
GAUGAAGAACGUAGCGAAAUGCGAUAAGUAAUGUGAAUUGCAGAAUUCAGUGAAUCAUCGAAUCUUUGAACGCACAUUGCGCCCGCCAGUAUUCUGGCGGGCAUGCCUGUCUGAGCGUCAUUUCAACCCUCAUGCCCCUAGGGCGUGGGGUUGGGGAUCGGCCAAAGCCCGCGAGGGACGGCCGGCCCCUAAAUCUAGUGGCGGACCCGUCGUGGCCUCCUCUGCGAAGUAGUGAUAUUCCGCAUCGGAGAGCGACGAGCCCCUGCCGUUAAACCCCCAACUUUCCAAGGUUGACCUCAGAUCAGGUAGGAAUACCCGCUGAACUUAAGCAUAUCAAUAAGCGGAGGA